rnacentral:rRNA from 1 species
GAUAACUCCGUGUCUGCAGCCGCUGGAGGACGGAGGGGGCAGGCGGUAGUCGAGUUGAUUGGGUUUAAAGGGUCCGUAGGCGGGCCGAUAAGUCAGUGGUGACAUCUCACAGCUUAACUGUGAAACUGCCGUUGAUACUGUAGGUCGUGAGUAAAUUUGAAGUGGCUGGAAUAAGUAGUGUAGCGGUGAAAUGCAUAGAUAUUACUUAGAACACCAAUUGCGAAGGCAGGUCACUAAGAUUUAACUGACGCUGAGGGACGAAAGCGUGGGGAGCGAACAGGAUUAGAUACCCCAGUAGUC